ensembl:lncRNA
AUCCAUCUCGGGCAACCGACACCGCUCGCGUUUUUUUUUUAUGCAGAAGUCGAGUGUAAAGAUCGUGAAAACGCUGCGAAUACAGAAUUCCUCUUUCUGAAAAUUAAUUGGUAAUUCUAAAUUUAAAGUGUUAUGCAAAGUAACGCGAAUGCAUUUCUGUAAAAGUUGCUCCGCAGCUCUGAUGGAUCAUGCACGCAGCAAUUGGUGUUUGCGGCUCAAGCAGCUGCGCACACAGCCGCCUGCUGCAAAUGUUGCGCUGCGGCCAGCUGCCAGUGUGUAAGUCGGUAGGGACCGAGCUCUCUGUGGGACAGCUGGUCUCCCUGGAACCAUGAACGAGCAGCUCAACCACGAGCUGUCCCUCGAUGGCAGCGAAGCCCCCCUGUGCGCCAAGGACUCGACUUUACUGUCCGAUUGUGACUCGUCCCCAAAGCACCGGGACCACCCUUUGAGCAGCUGCCCCCUUCUCAUCUACCCUGUGAGCAUUGACAGAGUGCUCCCUGCUAGCUCCGUGGCUGUCAAAACAACAGUCAAGAUUGCUCCAGCUGCCGUGCCAGCGCCAGUGCAGGGUAUGUCGGGAGACGAUGGUGAGGCGGGUUCGCACUUUGCCCCGCGGACCCCGGCCUCGGCAGCCUCUCCUCCUGAGUUCACCCACCAGGCCAUCGUGCGCCUGAUCGAGGCGGUGGGUCGACGCUGGGACAUGUAUGGCUCACGCGAACGCACCCGCCUCUUCCACAGCGUCCAGCAGGAGCUGGCGGAGCAGGGCCAUGCGCUGCCCAUGGAGAGGAUCCGCCGCAAGUGGAACAACCUUGUUGUCACCUACAAGCGGGUGAAGGACCGGUGCCGUGAGACAGGCCAGGCCAAGACCUCGUGGGAAUACUACGAGAUGCUGGACACUAUGUUGGGGAAGACCAUUGGUGCUCAGGCCGCUACUGCAGCUUCAGCAACGCUGGUCGGCAUGACAACCACCACCAAGGCCACAUCAUCUGUAGAGCUGCCAUCAUCCAGUCAUACGGUGGCGGCGGCUGCCAAGCCCUGCGUGUUCGCUAGCAGCCUCAUGGCUACGUCCACCCCGAUCCCCACGCUGGUGCAGUCCGUGAUCCCGUCGGUGCCGGCUACCCCCAACACCGUCUCCAGCCCUCUGGGAAACGCUGACGCUCACCAUCCCCGGCGUGCAGCAGGACCAAGCCGGCUGCGCGUGGGACCCAGGCUGCGAAUCGGCCCCUCUGGCUCGGCCGCCUCUUUCUCGGCGCAGCAGAAUGGCCCGGCAGCAAAGCGCACCACUCUGCUGCGUAGCUUCCUGUCCUCCCAGGAGGAGCGGGCGCAACUAGAGGAGGAGCGGCUGCAGAGGGCGGAGGCCCGCGAGAAGAGGAGGGAGAAGAGGGAGAUCCGGAUGGCCGAUGCCUUGGGCCGUAUGGCCGCAGCGCUGGAGCUGGUCUCCUCCAAACAGGACACCAUCAUCGCUCUGCUGCAAAGGGUUGCCGACAAGCAGUGAUACGUGAGCAGAGCAUCGCUAAGGCCACUGGGACAACGAGCCAAUGUACCUGCACAGGUGAAGCUCACAGUGAUUUCUGAGUGAACCAGAGAACCAGUUACUUCACAGAGUAAUUUUAAUGUGAGUAGUAAUUUGAAUUUUAGUUUAAGAGACCACCUCAAGGGUGACUGUCUCUGCUGCUCCAAGUGGCUGCAGGUCGCCGUGGCUACAGAAGUCACCCGAUCGAUGGCUGGCGCUCCAAACGCUCUGUGAAUAUGUGCUAAUAUAGCACUCUCUUUGUGAAACACCACCUGUGUGACGUACGAAUAAUGUUUAUGUUUAAUGGUAAGGUCAACGUUUAGUAGUUCCUGUUAAAGAAAAGUAUCGUUUUGCUUUUCUCACUUUGUCUUUUGGUUUAUAGAAUGAUGUGUAAAUAAAAUGUUCUUCAGUAAAAAAUAAUUUUCUAUU